CUUAGUGGAUCUUAUUUAUAACUAUUUUGCUGAAAAGAAGUUUUUCUUUUAUAUAUCUCAACAAAUCAUCCUCUUCUUCUUCUUUCAAACCCUCGUUCAUCUCCCACUGUAAGUUACAAUUCAUACGUGUUUUUCUUGUGUUCAUAUAUCCCUCUAUUUCUUAUAAGUCAAAAACUAAAUGACACAUUAAGGCAAAAAGUUCUUUCUAAAUUUCACAGCCUCAUGUCUUCUAUAUAUGCAAAAAGCAAAUGAUGACACUUUACAAUUUUGAAACUAUGUGAUUCUCACAUUCGACUCCACACCGUCUACUACCCCCACCACUCCAUUGUACUAAUAAAUGAGCAGUUAUCAGUUUAAGAACACCGUCAAUAGAAGAACAUAUAAUGAAGGAGAAGAAAAAUAUUGACCGAAGAAUUCUCAUGUGGAGAUUUAACAUUUUUUUUACCAUUUUUCUUUUGCUGAAUUCAUCCUCUUCAUGUUUUUGGAGGCCUUCUAUAUCUUCUUUUUUUUCAUAUUGUAUCUUCAUUGGAAUGAAGAAAAAGAAAAAAAAAAGUAAUGAAAAAAUCUUUUAAUUGAUUUAUUUCUUGACAUAAAUGUAUAGAUCGAUAUUAAUAAAAAAAUACUUAA